UCUUUUAGAAAUUCAAAUAUGGGGAUGAGGAAUUGAUUUAAAACAGAUCCAGAGAAUAUAGUUCAAUAACGCACAGACAGACAGACACAGUUCUUCCAAUAAUUGAACCUUGAUUCCCAAAAUUGAAACGAAUGAAAGAAUGAGAACAAAAAAGAACCUGCAAUACCCAAACCACCGAAAGAAAAUUCAUCGUUCUUUCUCUCUCGCUUCCUCUCUCUUCUCCCCUGAUCACUGUGUCACAAUCGCAAUUCACACAGACACAGUUCUUCCCUCCCGUAAAUGGCCCCAUUCAUUCAUGCUGUACGAUGAGUAAAGGAAACGAGUCAGACAGAAGAAGAAAGGGGGAGAUGUUGUGAAAUCGGUGAAUUAACCAGAAAACAAAGAAUCAGACCCACCCGCCACGGAGAACCACCGGUAAGCCAUCGUUUCUGCCGUUGCGAAUCAGAACCCUCCUUCUUUGUCUCUCGCGACACCCAGACUAGAGCACCACCGGAAAGUCACCGUUGCUCCGCCGCGAACAAACCCUCACCCUCUGUUUCAUUUCUCGCUCUCUCUCUCUUUCUAGAAUCUAUCUACUACGAGACUCAAGAAAUCACUAUUCCUAAGAGAACUUCCAAUCUCGGCCGUCCAUUUGACUCUCUCUCCAUUUUCACUCUUUAAUCUGUGAGACUUUUUUCAUAUGUAUUAUACUCUAGCUUCGCUGACGUCACAGAACGCGCGUUGAUGGAGGGAGUAUGUGAGGAAGGAGAGGAGUGUGUCCAUGGUUUGAUUUCGUGGGUAAUCGUCAUCCCUGCAGGCCUUCUCAGGGUCAGGUCUUCUCAGGGUCAGACCAAAGAGAAGGACGAAGCUGGUGGAAGGAGAAGGAAGAAGCUUUCGUGUACUGUAGAUUGGGUUAGGUUAGGAUUAGGUGGAGAAGAGAGGACAGAUUGAAGUUCAGAGCAAGGAGAUGGUGGAAGUUUUCACUGUUUGUGGUCAGGAGAGGAGCAGAAUCAGAAGCCAAAAACGUGGUAGAUUUCGUCAUCUGAUGCUUUCCCUGAUGUUGGAUCACGUUAGUUGAGUACAAUCCUGGUGAAGCAGGUCUGUUUUUCAAUUCAGUGUGUGUUUGGUUUCAAAUCCCAAACGUGGAUCCAGAAAUCCAAAAGCAACUAUUUUUUGCUUCUGCAAACGUGGAUCAGGGCCAAACGUGGAUCUGCAGAAGUUUUCCAAACACACACUCAUUCUUACUAUUCAUUUAGAGUACCAAUUGUUAUGGAUUUCUCCUUUUCAAAUCUCUAUAAAUACUGCCAUUGUUUGGUGUUUCUUCCCAUCUCUCAACUGUGUUAUCUAUUCCUUUCUUUCUCAUUUUAUUUCCAGGAGAAAAAGAACAGUCAUCUUCUUUGUGGGUUCUAUUCAUUGACAAAUGUUAGUUUAGCAGAAUUGAUUUCAAGAUAAGAACCAUUGAACUUGAUGGCAAGCGCAUUAAGUUACAAAUCUGGGACACUGCUGGUCAUGAGCGAUUUCAAACUAUUACGACUGGCUGUACCUUCUUCCAAAGGCCAAGCUCUUGCAGAUGAGUAUGGUAUCAAGUUCUUUGAGACUAGUGCAAAAACAAACGUGAAUGUGGAGGAGGUUUUCUUUUCAAUAGCAAGAGACAUCAAGCAGAGGCUUGCAGGCAUAG